AUUUCAGAGAGUCAAAGUAUAUCGUUUAAAUGAUGAUGGAAAAUGGGAUGACCAAGGAACUGGGCAUGUCAGUGUCGACUAUUUGGAGAGAUCAGAAGAAUUGGGUUUAUUUGUUAUUGAUGAAGAAGACAAUGAGACAUUGCUUAUGCACCGUAUCUGCCCAGAUGACAUCUACAGGAAGCAAGAAGAUACGAUUAUCUCAUGGAGAGACCCCGAAUAUUCAACGGAAUUAGCACUUAGCUUCCAAGAAACUACAGGGUGCUCUUAUGUGUGGGAUAACAUCUGUAAUGUGCAAAGAAAUAUGCAUUUCAGUUCUCUUAACAGUGAUGAGGGAUUUACAAGAAGGGGUUUUUAGUGGCCUUGGUUUUUCUAGCUCACAGAUAAAGCAAAAGAGCCAGGACCAAGUUGUGGAUAAAGGUCUAUGAUAAAACUUUAUGUAUGUGAUUUCGUUUCUU